UCGAGAAUCUUCCGCAAUGGGCGAAAGCCUGACGGAGCGAUACAGCGUGAUGGAUGAAGUGCCUCGGCACGUAAACAUCUUUUAUGUGGGAAGAAGUAAUUGACGGUACCACAUGAAUAAGGGGCUCCUAACUCUGUGCCAGCAGGAGCGGUAAUACAGAGGCCCCAAGCGUUACCCGGAAUCACUGGGCGUAAAGGGUGUCUAGGCGGCCAUGUUAGUCUUCCGUAAAAUCCAGGAGCUCAACUUCUGGCCCGCGGGAGAAACGGCAUGGCUUGAGGGUGGGAGAGGUGCGUGGAACUCACGGUGUAGGGGUGAAAUCCGUUGAUAUCGUGGGGAACACCAAAGGCGAAGGCAGCGCACUGGCCCAUUCCUGACGCUCACACACGAAAGCCAGGGUAGC
rnacentral:rRNA from 1 species